GCAUUGGUGGUUCAGUGGUGGAAUUCUCGCCUGCCACGCUGGAGACCCGGGUCCGAUUCCCGGCCAAUGCA
rfam:Danio rerio chromosome 4, GRCz11 reference primary assembly.